CAAAAAAGAAAAAGAAGAAAAAGGAAUAGAAUCGGAAACAAAUUCUUCUCUUUCUCUUUUCUUUUCCCAAUUUUGAGGAAUUUGUCCUAAUUUGUUC
rnacentral:ribozyme from 13 species